GGGGAAUUUUCCGCAAUGGGCGAAAGCCUGACGGAGCAAUACCGCGUGAGGGAGGAAGGUUCUUGGAUUGUAAACCUCUUUUCUAGGGGAAGAAGAAAGUGACGGUACCCUAGGAAUAAGCAUCGGCUAACUCCGUGCCAGCAGCCGCGGUAAUACGGAGGAUGCAAGCGUUAUCCGGAAUCAUUGGGCGUAAAGCGUCCGUAGGUGGUUUAUCAAGUCUGCCGUCAAAGAAUGGAGCUUAACUCCAUAGAGGCGGUGGAAACUGAGAGACUAGAGUACAGUAGGGGUAGCAGGAAUUCCCAGUGUAGCGGUGAAAUGCGUAGAUAUUGGGAAGAACAUCGGUGGCGAAAGCGUGCUACUGGGCUGAAACUGACACUGAGGGACGAAAGCUAGGGUAGCGAAAGGGA
rnacentral:rRNA from 1 species